rnacentral:rRNA from 1 species
GUCCACGCCGUAAACGAUGGGUACUAGGUGUGGCGGGUGUCGACUCCCGCUGUGCCGAAGCUAACGCAUUAAGUACCCCGCCUGGGGAGUACGGCCGCAAGGCUAAAACUCAAAGGAAUUGACGGGGACCCGCACAAGCAGCGGAGCAUGUGGUUUAAUUCGACGCAACGCGAAGAACCUUACCAAGGCUUGACAUGCACUGGAAAACCGUGGAAACACGGUCCCCCUUCGGGGCUAGUGCACAGGUGGUGCAUGGCUGUCGU